rnacentral:rRNA from 1 species
GACGUAGGGCGCGAGCGUUGUCCGGAUUUAUUGGGCGUAAAGAGCUCGUAGGCGGCUUGUCGCGUCGACUGUGAAAACUUGGGGCUCAACCCCAAGCUUGCAGUCGAUACGGGCAGGCUAGAGUUCGGUAGGGGAGACUGGAAUUCCUGGUGUAGCGGUGAAAUGCGCAGAUAUCAGGAGGAACACCAAUGGCGAAGGCAGCUCGCUGGGACGGUACUGACGCUGAGGCGCGAAAGCGUGGGGAGCAAACAGG